rnacentral:rRNA from 1 species
CAAGAAAAUUACCGAGUGUAGGGUUCCUAGC